AAGCGGAGGAAAAGAAACUAACAAGGAUUCCCCUAGUAACGGCGAGCGAACCGGGAAGAGCUCAAAUUUGUAAUCUGGCGCCCCUCGGGCUCAGAGUUGUAAUCUACAGAGGCGUUUUCCGUGCCGGCCCGUGCCCAACUUUGCUUGGAACAGUGAGAUCAAAGAGGGUGAAAAUCCCGUACUUGACACGACCGCCGGUGCUAUGUGAUACGUCUUCUAAGAGUCGAGUUGUUUGGGAAUGCAGCUCAAAACGGGUGGUAAAUUCCAUCUAAGGCUAAAUAUUGGCGAGAGACCGAUAGCGAACAAGUACCGUGAGGGAAAGAUGAAAAGCACUUUGGAAAGAGAGUUAAACAGCACGUGAAAUUGUUGAAAGGGAAACGAUUGAAGUCAGUCGUGUCCGAGGGGUUCAGCCGGUCCUGCCGGUGCAUUCCUCUCGGACGGGUCAACAUCGGUUUUGUCCGGCGGACAAGGGCAUGGGGAAAGUGGCACCUUCGGGUGUGUUAUAGCCCCGUGUCGCAUACGUCGGACGAGACCGAGGAACGCAGCUUGCCUCACGGCCGGGGUUCGCCCACGUACGAGCUUAGGAUGUUGACAUAAUGGCUUUAAA
rnacentral:rRNA from 1 species